UUUGACCUCAAAUCAGGUAGGAUUACCCGCU
rnacentral:ncRNA from 2 species